rnacentral:rRNA from 1 species
GGCCGUGUACCAGCACUAAAGCACCGGAUCCCAUCAGAACUCCGAAGUUAAGCGUGCUUGGGCGAGAGUAGUACUAGGAUGGGUGACCUCCUGGGAAGUCCUCGGGUUGCAUUUC